AUGUAUUUAUGAUGAAUAAUAUCAGUUAUCCCUGUCAGACAUUUUUAUGCUGAUAACAUUAAUUUUAUCUGAAAUUAAU
rfam:Acyrthosiphon pisum strain LSR1 Contig8688, whole genome shotgun sequence.